rnacentral:lncRNA from 1 species
UGGAAACCACAUCAGUCCUAUAAUACUUUUCUUUUAGAGUUUAUUUUCUGAUGCCUUGUUCAAGAAUUUUAAGCUACCAUGCAGGCAAUGGUUGCAAAUUCAUGUGGAUGAGUACCCAUCAAUCAUUGCCGAAUCGAGCCGACCCGGUCUUCGACUGGGUCAGUUCUCCAAUGGAAAAUGGUUCCGACCCCUUAGGGGCCGAAAAUUGACGAAAUUGG